rnacentral:lncRNA from 10 species
GGGUGAAAGAAUGAAUCCUCACUUCAACCCUAUGAGGAAACCAAGCUCAGAGAAACAACCUUGCCCAAGAUCACACACCUGGUAUAUAUGCGAGCCGGGCUUUGAACUCAGCUCUCAACUACAAUGCCACGUGCCUCUCAGGAUCCCCACUCCCAAAACACUCUCAACAGCUAAACAUCGCCGUACGCUAUUCAGGGCCCGGCCCCUUGACGCAGGACACAGAAGCAGUUGGAAGAGACAGGCCUGGUCCCGGGUGUUCCCAGGCUAACAGGCAGUGGCUCCCAGCAUGAAUGAAGGGACGUAGCCCAAACCCAACAGCUGCAGCCCCGGUCCCUGGAGGGCCACAGCCGCCACCAUGCGGAAGGGAGGGCUGGGCUUUCUAUCUACACAGAUUUGCCUUUUCUGGACAUUUCAUUAAAAUGGAAUUGAAACUGUGUGGCCUUCUGCGGUUGGCUUCUCUUACUGAGCAUAAUGAGCGUGAGUUUCAGUCCCUUUAUACUGCUGAAGAGUAAUUAUAGGAUGUGCUGCGUUGUGUUUGCCCAUUCACCAGCUGACAGGAAUUUGUACUGUUUCCAGUUUUUGGCUAUUAGAGCUUGGAUUUUACCUCAGGGUGACCAGCGGAGCAGGAAGGAAAGGCUAGGAGCAGAAGAGGGAGAGGUCAGGACUGGCCGUUAGAAAGAUCUUCGGGCCAGCAGAUAUUGGGCAUGGAGAUGCCACAAUGGGCAGGGAAGGGGGCCAGGAAGAGGGCUUGCUGGCAGCUUCUUGGGGGGGGGGCCCCUCGCCCUGCUGCCAAUCCGCUGCUGCUGGACGCAGUGGGAGUCCCUGAGAGAGCUCCCAGUCCAGUAAUAUCUCCGUGUGGACUCCUCCUCCUGCCACCCUGCUAGGCCAGGGGCUCUGGACCCCUGGUCUCAUCAAGCACUGCCCCAUUUUCUAGGGGAAGAAGCUGAGGUCUGGGUAAAGUAUGGUGUCUCCCUGGGACCAGGUGGCUGGUCCAGAGCAGAGUCUAACAUCAGACCCUGGGACUCCGCUCUGGCCACUGUGCUGGGUGGCGGUGGGUUGCUGAACUGCGGUGCUGGAGGAAAGAAGCCGACAGAGGCCAGCCGCCAGCCUCCCCAGAGGUCAGGCCUGGUCCCUGCCUGAGCACUUCCUCCUCCUUGGGGGUGGAGGCCUGGGAGGAGCUGCAGGGGAUCAGCUGAUGGCAGGUGCCCCUCUUGCAGACAGAAAGGGAGCUGUCUGACAAAGGCCCAUGUGCUUGGUGACCCUGGAGCUCUAGUGGGGACCGGAGCUUGCCCUGCCUGGGAAGGCAGCCCCCAGGACUGCAGCAGCUACCCCAAGCCAUGGACAAGCCCAUGCAUGCCCUGGUCUUAACCAUUUGACCCCCAAAGGGCCCACGAACUUGAGGGGAGACACUUAUCUCUUUAUUUUCAUGAAUGGAACUGAAAUUUAGCAUUUCCUUCUUAUUAACAGAGGCCAAAAGAGAGAGAGAAAAGAAACAGUGUUUAGCAGACCUUGAGACUGACAUGAAAAGAAACGACAGAUAUUUUCCCAUUGCAUCAAGUUACUGCAGAUUCUGAAUGCCCAUCACUACUCUGAGACUGAAGGCCUUAUUACAGCUGCUGCUACAUCCUAUCGCUUCACAUGUCAAUUCAGUGAGGAAGAGCAUUUAGCUAAUGAUAUUCCAACUGGCAUCCUUUGCAAUCCUAUUUAAUGUUUCGCCUUAAAAAUCAUCAUUCCAGGCCAGGCAUGGUGGCUCAUGCCUGUAAUCCCAGCCAAGAUGGUGCCUCUUCUUUGUUCCAAGAGCCUCUGAGUGAGCUUGAGGCCCAGUUUCUAGGCUGGCAACCUUCACUCCCCACACAGCAAUCAGACCACACCUUCAGCUGGGCACCUACAGGGUCUGGAACCAGGUCCGGCCUUGCAGGAGUCACCACCAGAGUCAGAGACCGAGGAGGUCACAUCCGCCCAAGUGCUUACAGAAGCGCCGUAGAAAUGCACUUCUACUAAAAAUACAAAAAUUAGCCGGGCGUGGUGGUGGGUUCCUGUAGUUCCACGUACUCAGGAGGCUGAGGCACUCUCAAGUAGUUGAGCCUGGGAAGUGAAGGAUGCAGUGAGCCGAGAUCGUGCCACUGUACUCCAGCCUGGGAGACAGAGUGACUCUGUCUCAAGAAAAAAAAAAAAAAGGAAUGAGCACACCAAAACUAAGAUUUUACAAAUACUAUUGCUUAGAAAUGAGGCCAAAUGUAUUCAAAUAAAAAAGAAACCAAUCUAUUAAUAAGAAAAAAGAAAGAGCAGCAUGGGCAGAUCAGAGAGGAAGUUCGCGCUGACAGCACUCACACCCGCCAGGCCCAUCCCCAGCACUUCCAAUGCAAAUAAACACAGCUUCAAUUCCCUGAUCACUUCCAUCACGGGAGUAUUAGUAUCCUCCCACUUUAGAGAGGAGACUGGGCACAUGGCUCACGCCUGCAAUCCCAGCACUAUGUGAGGCCAAGACAGGAGGAUUGCUUUAGGCCAAGAGUUUGAGACCAGCCUUGCCAACAAAGCCAGUCUCUACAAAAAAAAUUUCAGAAAAAAAAAAGAGAGGAGAAAACUGCGGCAUGGGGCAGAGGUGCGAUAACUUGUCCAAAGUUGCAGGGAGAGCAGCUGGCUGGCCCAGGAUGGGCCCCUACACACACCUGUCCAUUUAAAAUGGUGUGAGGAGGUGGCUAAGAAGAAAAUGGCAGCGUGAAACAGUUCAUGAGCAGGCGUGGGUCAAAAUAACUGACUCUGGCGUACUGAGCACUAACCACAUGAGAGAUGCUACCCGAGGCAUUUCACACCCAGUUCCUCAGUAUCUGCACUCAAUGCGGACUCACGAGGGGAGGUGAUGGGUCCACCACGUCUGACCACAGGGCCAGCUUGGACCCAUCUGACUCUGCCAUGUCACAGCCCACAUGACCCCAUGAUGGACAUGGAAAAGGUCAUGUGAUGCCCAGUGUCUCCUUUAAGGCAGCAGGAAGCAGGUGAUCUUUGUCAGUCACGGCUUCCAGGCAGAGUGACUGAAGUCUCAUAAAGGGGUGGGUCCCCAGGAUCCAGGGGAGCAUAGCCACAGGACCCCUAUUCCACAGGCAAGGCCAAACAGCCAUGGCAGGACUGUAGUUCAUUCAAAGGCUUUGGUGUAGGGCCUGGGCUGGAGCUCAGAGCCAGGUUCCAAAGGGAAGGGCUGCGCAGUGGUUAGGGCACAGCUGUGGCCCUGAGGGAUGGGGCUGGGAUCUUUGCUGUCUCUCUCACACACUCAGUGACCUUAGGUGGGCUUCACAGCAUCUCACAGGUCCCACCUGAGAUAUAGAGUCUUGCAAUAUGGUUAAGAACGUGAAUUCUGGGCCGGGCGCGGUGGCUCACGCCUGUAAUCCCAGCACUUUGGGAGGCUGAGGAGGGCAGAUCAUCUGAGGCCAGGAGUUCGAGACAAGCCUGGCCAACAUGGUGAAACCCCGUCUCUACUAAAAAUACAAAAAUUAGCUGGGUGUUGUGGCGCAUGCCUGUAACCCCAGCUACUCAGGAGGCUGAGGCAGGAGAAUCACUUGAACCCGGGAGGUGGAGGUGGAGGUUGUGGUGAGCUGAGAUCGCACCACUGCACUCCAGCCUGGGCAACAAGAGUGAAACUCCUUCUCACGGACACACAAAAAGAACAUGAGUUCUGGGGCGAGACUGCCUGGAGUCAAAUCCUAGCGCCCAACUCAAACUCUUGAGCAAAGCAAUGUGACCCGUGCCUCAACUGUUUUAUCCCUAAAAUGGGGAUGAGUGUAACUAACUCCCAGGGUCGUGUGGCGAGUGAGUGAGUUAGUAGGGUCCCUCCCUGGAACCAGUGCUUAGCACACACAUAUACAUGCUCACUUGGUCCAGGGGUAGUGGCUCAUGCCUGCAAUCCCAGCACUUUGGGAAGCCAAGACGGGCAGAUCACGAGGUCAGGAGUUCAAGACCAGCCUGGCCAACAUAGUGAAACCCUGUCUCUACUAAAAAUACAAAAAUUAGCCUGGCAUGGUGGCACGUGCCUGUAAUCCCAGCUACUCGGGAGGCUGAGGCAGGAGAACUGCUUAACCCAAGAGGUGGAGGUUGCAGUAAGCCGAGAUGGUGCCCCGUGCACUCCAGCUUGGGCAACAGAGUGAGACUCUGUCUCAAAUAAAUAAACCACAAGCAUCGCCCACCGUCUCCCCCCAACCAGGGCUGUAGUGCGAGCAGGGAAAAGGAUGGCAGCUUCACCAAGGCCAUGGCUUUGCUUGUUCCUGGCCAAGGGAGCUAGGUGAAGGGCAGGGGCUCCCCGACAGAUUGAAGGGGUGGGAAAAACAAAAUAAAACAUCAAAUACAUUGUGUAGGAAGAGUCCAGCCUACAGAAGGCCAGAGGAGGGGGCCUCUGCAGUCUCAGAAGAUCACUGCUGCCACCACUGUCACCCUGGGAGCCA